CCUUAUCUGAAUAUUAUUUCAAAAUUCCGCUGCUGAUCCAGUGGGGUGGCCUAGUCGAUAGGUUUAAAUAUUAUUCAAGUGAUGCUGCCGCGUGUACUGUGAAUACAAGGUACUUCAGUUGUAUUUUCCUCAAGAGACUCCUUAGAUAUUGAUCAGUGGAAUAAAGUUAUUGAGCAGCUGGGAACACCAUCAGCAGAGUUCAUGAAGAAACUUCAGCCAACUGUGAGGAAUUAUGUCGAAAACAGACCAAAGUAUCCUGGAAUCAAAUUCGAAGAACUCUUUCCAGAUUGGAUAUUCCCAUCAGAAUCUGAGCGAGACAAAAUAAAAACAAGUCAAGCCAGAGAUCUGUUAUCAAAAAUGUUAGUGAUUGAUCCUGACAAGCGGAUCUCUGUAGAUGAAGCUCUGCGUCACCCAUACAUCACUGUUUGGUAUGACCCUGCCGAAGCAGAAGCCCCACCACCUCAAAUUUAUGAUGCCCAGUUGGAAGAAAGAGAACAUGCAAUUGAAGAAUGGAAAGAGCUAAUUUACAAAGAAGUCAUGGAUUGGGAAGAAAGAAGCAAGAAUGGUGUUGUAAAAGAUCAGCCUUCAGGUUAGUGAUUGCUUUAAUUGAUUGUAUGAUAUUUUUCUUUCCCUAUUCAACUUUUUUUUUUUUGAGACAGAGUUUCGCUCUGUUGCCCAGGCUGGAGAGCAGCGGCGCGAUCUCUGCUCACUGCAACCUCCGCCUCCUGGGUUCAAGCAAUUCUCCUGCCUCAGCCUCCCGAGUAGCUGGGACUACAGGCAUGUGCCACCAUGCCCUGCUAAUUUUUGUAUUUUUAGUAGAGACGGGGUUUCACCAUAUUGGCCAAGCUGGUCUCGAUCUCUUGACCUUGUGAUCCGCCCGCCUCAGCCUCCCAAAGUGGUGGGGUUACAGGUGUGAGCCACUGCACCUGGCGUCUUUCCCGAUUCAACUUUUAUAAAUGGCAGCAACAUGUGAAAUGCCAGCCUGGCUAGCAUCAGAUUUAAAAACCACUGUGUGAAUAGCCACCCUUUUUGGCUUGUCAUAGUGGUGGUGGUGGUGGAUGACAUUUUACUGAUGUGCCAGGCACUGAACUUUGUUAUAAGCAUUUCUCUUUCAUCUUUGCAAUAACUGCUGUCACCUCCAUUUACAGAUGAAGAAAUUGAAUUUAAAGCCUUUUCAAUGUUGAUAACCCUUUGUACUGGUCCCACCCAAAAUACCAAUCUAAGUAAAAUGGAGUAUGGUAUUCUUUUUGAGAAAAUUGUUGAUAUCAUUCUUCCAUUUUUCUGCUUGAUCUACUGAUCUUCAUAGUGGUGGAAGCCUCUAAUGACCAGGUAGUUGUAUGAUCAUGAGACUCUGAUAUGAGUCGUGUUCACUUACGUCUGAAGGAUUCUUCCUGUUUACUAAAUGAAACGCUCAUGUUAUAUCAUUGUCUCUCUCCCACUCCCACUGGGAAGCAUGCACACACGUGCGUGCGGAUGUGCAGAGAGCACAGCUUACUUUUUAUUCUUGAAUUUUAUGCUCAACAUGACGUAUGUGCCAAGCAUCUAGAGAUUAUAUAACUUCAGCAAGAACUUAGGUGCUUGUUAACUGAGCACACACGUAUGACUGCAGACGUCGAUCUCAGAGAGUGCAUGUUGUAUUUUUAUUCAAACCAGACUAAAAUAUGGAUAAUAGGAAAUAGGAUAGUUUCAUUCGCUUUAAAAGAUUAAAAUGUCAGUUUUCUGGAGUUAUAAAACCAUAAAAUAUACAAGGCCACUAAUUUUUUUCCUUUUUCUAGUAUAUAGUCUUUAUUUAUUGCAAAAGAUUUCUUUGAAAGUUGAUGCUUUUUUUCCUGUAGAUUUAGUGUUUAUGUUAUAAAUUGUUACAAUUCAAGUGUCUGGUGACACUGGAAUCCUAGUCAGGCUUAAGCUUUUGUGAUACUGCAUUUUCAGAUAAAUAUAGCUGUGUCCUUUUGAUGUCUGCUUGAAAGCAGCAGGUAUUUUUUAAGUAGCUAACAUGAUUAUACAUGGCCACAUGUAUGUUUAGCUACUGAGAAAAAAAGAAGAAUCUUGCAAGGAAAGACAUAGGAAUAUGGGACUCUUGGCCCAAAGAAAGACUCAAGGAAAAGUUCAGAAAGUCCAGCUGACUGACUUCUUGUCUAUACUCAUAGUUAGGGUUGGGAAACUGCAAAAGGACAGAGCCGAGAAAUGGCCUGCAGUCUCGCUGCCUGGAUUUGCAGCAAUGUCGUGCCUCAGAUUUUAUUAUAUUUGGUUUUCUUAGCACAGA
rnacentral:sRNA from 1 species